GUUGAUUUUGGAUAAUGGAGCUUGCUUGCUUAUAUUUUCUAUUCUUCCUUUUGUUUUAGGUACAUAUGUCUUGGCUUGAAGGAGUGUUUGAUUAGCUCAUAAAAAGUUGUUGUGACUUUGUUUGCCGCAAUGGUUGAUUAGGUUAUAUAAUGAAUGGAAGUGUUGUGUGGGUCUAUUAGUGAAUUUUUCAAGAAAUGGAGAGCAAUGGCACAACGGCCCAUUAAACAAAAAAUGAGUUAUGCAUUAUUACAGGGAUGGAAACUCAACGGAGCAUGAUCAUCCAAAAAUGGAUACUUCGCACAAGGUCAUUGAUCCAUAUUGGAAACAUUGUGUUACGUUGCUUCUACCAGUGUGUCAUUGGUUGGCUCUCUCAUGUUAAAUUAUUUAUUUAUUUAUUUUUGGGUUAGCUAGGAUGAUUCUUUUGUAUCAUAAUGUUCAUCGACCUUUAUUUGAAGGAAUU